GCCCGGGUGGUGAAAUCGGUAGACACAAGGGAUUUAAAAUCCCUCGGCGGCAACGCCGUGCGAGUUCAAGUCUCGCCCCGGGCACCA
rnacentral:tRNA from 1 species